rnacentral:rRNA from 1 species
AGAGUUUGAUCAUGGCUCAGGACGAACGCUGGCGGCGUGCUUAACACAUGCAAGUCGAACGAUGACGGUGGUGCUUGCACCGCCUGAUUAGUGGCGAACGGGUGAGUAACACGUGAGUAACCUGCCCUCCACUUCGGGAUAACCUCGGGAAAUCGUGGCUAAUACCGGAUAUGAGCACUCAUCGCAUGGUGGGUGUUGGAAAGAUUUAUCGGUGGGGGAUGGACUCGCGGCCUAUCAGUUUGUUGGUGAGGUGAUGGCUCACCAAGACGAUGACGGGUAGCCGGCCUGAGAGGGCGACCGGCCACACUGGGACUGAGACACGGCCCAGACUCCUACGGGAGGCAGCAGUGGGGAAUAUUGCACAAUGGGCGAAAGCCUGAUGCAGCGACGCCGCGUGGGGGAUGACGGCCUUCGGGUUGUAAACCCCUUUCAGUAGGGAAGAAGCGAGAGUGACGGUACCUGCAGAAGAAGCGCCGGCUAACUACGUGCCAGCCGCCGCGGUAAUAC